rnacentral:rRNA from 1 species
GAUGAACGCUGGCGGCGUGCCUAAUACAUGCAAGUCGAGCGAAGCGGGGACGGGAGAGUAACACGUGGAUAAGGUCCUAGAAGACUGGGUUGACUUCGGGAAUCCGAAGGUAAACAGGAUACUGAUAGAUGGAUCCCCGCGGCAUUAGCUAGUGGGUAAGGUAACGGCUUACCAGGUCAACGAGGCAUUGCCGACCUGCGAGGUUGAUCGGCCACACUGGAACAUAGACACUGUGCAGACUCCUACGUGCGGCAGGAGUAGGGAAUCUGCCGCUAUGGGCGAAAGCCUGACGGAGCAACGCCGCGUGAGUGAUGAAUGGCUUCGGAGUGUAAAACUCUGUUAGUAUGGCAGCGGUACCUGAUCAGAAAGCCACGGCUAACUACGUGCCAGCCGCCGCGGUAAUAC